rnacentral:rRNA from 1 species
GAUGAACGCUGGCGGCGUGCUUAACACAUGCAAGUCGAACGAAGCCCUACGGAUUUUUAACUUCGGUUAAAAACUGUAGACGCUUAGUGGCGAACGGGUGAGUAUCGCGUGAGUAAUCUGCCUUUUAGCGGGGGACAACAGCUGGAAACGGCUGCUAAUACCGCAUGACAAACACACUUGGCAUCAAGAGUGUUUCAAAGAUUUAUCGCUAAAAGAUGAGCUCGCGUCCAAUUAGUUAGUUGGUGAGGUAAUGGCUCACCAAGACGAUGAUUGGUAGCCGGACUGAGAGGUUGGACGGCCACAUUGGGACUGAGACACGGCCCAGACUCCUACGGGAGGCAGCAGUGGGGGAUCUUGCACAAUGGAGGCAACUCUGAUGCAGCGACGCCGCGUGAAGGAAGAAGGUCUUUAGAUUGUAAACUUCUGUCAAUAGUGAAAAUAAUGAUUAGCUAUGGAGGAAGCCACGGCUAACUACGUGCCAGCCGCCGCCGUAAC